rnacentral:rRNA from 1 species
CCUACGGGAGGCAGCAGUCGGGAAUUUUGGGCAAUGGGCGAAAGCCUGACCCAGCAACGCCGCGUGAAGGAUGAAAUCCCUCGGGAUGUAAACUUCGCAAGAACAGGAAGAAUAAGUAAGAGUUAAUAUCUCUUACGAUGACGGUACUGUUUGUAAGCUCCGGCUAACUCCGUGCCAGCAGCCGCGGUAAU